UUUCUCAUUUAUUUUCCCCCAAACCAACGCCAUCCCCUUUUCUCCCCCCUCAACCCCUCGUCGUCGCCUCUCCGAUUCGCCGACUCAUCUCAUGAACUGAUCUCUCCAUCGCCAUGGAAGAGAUAUCCAAUUUCUUAGACCUCUUCAAGGAUCGCAGUCCCCCUCGCGAUUUCGCUCACCUCUUCCGCUCCGCUCCGAUCAAGUCUGGUCUCUUUCGAUUCCUUGCAAUCCUCGAUUCUGAAGCCCGGCUAGGGUUGGAAUUGUGGAGCGCGUCUCAGAUCGAUGCAGUCAUCUUCGCCGCCAAAUUGCUCGUCGACUCUUCUCUCUCGAUUUCAGGUUUUGGUUUUGUUUUGAUGGAAUUGGAAGUUUCAAACCUUCUCUUCCAUCGUUUCCUCAGAUAUCAGAUUUUAGGGAAGGAUCAGGAAGUGAAGAAAUUGUGCAAGAUUUUUAUAAGAGAUUAAUAAAUUUCUGGUUUGUCUUGUUCAAUUUAUUAAUUUUGAUUUGAUUUUGAUUUUGAUUUUAGUAAUUUGUUCGAUUUAUAAAUUUCUCGAAGGGGAUUACCUGAUUUUGUUUAUUACUACAUAGAAGUAGAAGAUUCAAGACAUUCUUAGUUUUUUCUCGUCCCCGCGUCAAGGUUUGUUCUUUCUUCAUCUGUUCUUAAGAGGUUUCAGUUUUGAGGUCACUCAGUGUUGAGGGGUGGACUUGGUCUUCCCAUUUCUCAGUUAGAUCAGUUCUUUUAAACUAAUCCUGCACUUUUCUACUCUUAUUAUUGAUUAUUGAUCUUAUUGAUUAUUGAUUCUUUCACCAACAUUUUCCUUUCCCAUUUUAUUCAUGCGCUCAACAGGAGACUCUUCUUUUUUCUGUUAAUUGUUAUUUUUGUUUUUUUUGUACUUAUGUGCUUAUUUGCGUUGUUUUUUUAAUCAAAUGGUUGCUAAUUUAGGAAUUUUCAUGUGUCUAGAUGAUUAUGCAUUGUCAAUCUAUAGAAAUGUAUUGAAUCUACUGCUGUUAUGUUGGUUAUAGAGUUUAAAAAAACACUUGACAAAGAAAACUUUCAUAUCUAGGAACAAGGACGGGCUAAGACAUCUCUGGUUUGCCGAGUCUCAGGAUCCAAAACAGACAAUUUGCUAGACUCGAGUUCAACUUUCUAAGUAUGAAUUUCAGGUUCACCUUUCACCAAAAACUUCCACCACUCCAUUUGAUUUUGCUUGGUCAACAGUAUAGAAAUGACCUCCCAUCCUGUGUAAAGUUAAAUAUAUUCAGAACAUUUCAGUGAGAAUAAUGCAACAUCACAGGAAAUCCAACAGAGUCUUAGUAGUUUGUACACAAACCUAUGUUCCAGAAGCAAUCAUCAACUCUGACAGAUUGAUAUAGUUCCCUGUAAACAUGAUCGUAAACGUUUAAUAAUCCUUUUUACUUUAUUGUUUCAUCAGUGAGGAAGACUGUACCUACCAGAUUAGAUUAAUGCUUCACAAAGAAGUCCUUACCAGAUUACUUUAUUGUAAUUUCUUAUUCAUAUUCUCAGUUUGAUUGUUUGAUGGAUAACCUUUAUUUUUAGUAUUGAUUGAUUAUUGAUUAUUGCUGUUAGGUGUCCGAUAUUGAUUGGAGGAGUAGAAAGCUAUCAAGCCUUAUUUCCGCACCAAUUAGUGAAGAUGGGCUGAAGCAUAUGGUGAUCUGUCAUGUAAUCUUGGGAAGAACAGAGAUGAUACUUCCUGGCUACUGACAAUCAGGUCCAAGUUCUGGAGAUUUUGAUUCUGGUGUAGAUAACCAGCAAGCUCCUUCAAAGUAUAUUGUCUGGUAUCCAGAUGUCAAGACACAUGUACUGCCUCUUUAUGCGGUUACUGUCAAAAUGGAACUGGAUUUAGGAGAUUGGGGGAAUGGAGGGGGAAUAAUUAUUUGAGGAGGAAUCUGACUGCAUUUUAUUGUUAGUUUGGUUUAUGGUGAUAAUUCAGCUAUAAGUUUGAGUUCAAACGUAACGGAGCAAUAGAGCAUGUUUCUCUGAUUUCAAAGACACUGAUUACUUUUUAGCUGAAGGAUGUCCGUUUAAUUUGCAUUAUUUAUGUAUUUAUCUUCAUCAAUGUUUCAGCAAUAGCCAGAGAUAUAUUUACAUGGGAUCCCAUGACAAGCAUGUUUAUAUUUAUGAUGUGGUAUGUACUUCUGUAGUCUGUACUUUGUUAAAUUAAUGAAAGGAAGUGAGAGUUAUGUUAAUAUUUUGAAGAUAAAUUAUAUAUUUCAUUUUGUACUACAAAUUCUUACAUAUAAUGCGAGGAACACAAUGUGCUCUAAUGUAGCUUCAACACUUCAGACUUCAGUGGCCUUUGGCUUAAUGUCACUAGAUUUGUGAGUCAACUAUCAGCAGUUCCUUUAGUUGCCUUAUCCGGAUUUGGCCUCUAUGAGUUAGGCUUUCUCAGUGUUGCCAAGUGUAUUGAGAUUGAGCUUCCACAUAUAAUUCUGUUGAUAAUCUUUUCCCAGGUGACUGGAAACCAAGUUGCAAAAAUCACCUUUCAUAACGCUGUGAUUAGAGUCUGUAGCUGGCAUCCAUAAACCAUAUGCUUGUGAGCUAUUCUUGGGAUUGUCAAAUUGCUAGAUGGCAAUUCUAGGGUUCUGAUGCAAUUCCUUCCGUUAUUGACAAUAAACGCCAUCGAAGGCAACAGCCUGAGCAAAGGACACUUCCUUGAUGCUUUGCGCUCUUCCUCGAGUUUCUGUUUGUUAUUUAUAAUAUCUCAUGGCAUUUAUAAUUUCUCAUGACAUGGUGCAAAUUCUUUGAUCAGAAGAGACACUAACAAAGGGGAUCAACGUCAUGUAUUGCGAGAUCUUUAUCAUCUAGACUACCCUAGCUGAUGAGACCUCAAUUCCUUUGUAAAGAAUAUUUAAGUAUGAUUAUGGUGUAAAUAUUUGUAUGCAUCUUCUCGGUGCAAUCAGAUUACAUUGCCUUGUAAAUAGACUAAAACAAUGUAAGAAACCUGAGAAGCCAAAUCAUAUUUCUUGCUUUUUGUUA